GCCACCUCUGAAACCUCUCUUUCUCUCAAACUCUCUCGAAUGGUCGAAACCCUAGCCCUUCUCACCCUUCUUGGACCUCAAUAUCACCUAAAUCCAUGGCUUCUCAAGCCAUGGAUGGCCUGUACUUAUCUUCCUUCACUCCUAAACCAUGGAUGUUUGAGAUUUCAAGGUCUGACCUCGAUGGAGUUCGUUCAAAUCCUCUAUAUUUCCUUGGUUCUAUGGCCUCACCGGCUUCCAUCCAGCGUUUUCGAGCUUUAGGAACCUAGCUAUGGCCAUCUCCGACUCAAGACCAGACUUUCUUCCAGGCCUUCUCACUUCUAGGGUUUCAGAUAAACCCUAAAGCUAUUCGAGGUUCCUUCUUCUUUUAUUUGCCUAGAUCUCUGGUGGAUCAGUGCUAUCUUCGACGUUUUAAGCUUUUUCCCCAAUUUUCCUUUUUUAAAAUUAGUUUAUUUUUGAAUUAGGGUUUCUGAAAAGUCCCAAAAUGACUUUUGUCUCUUCUUCUUCUUCUUCUUUUCGUUAUAUGAAUCUGCCUAUGCCAUGCUCUUGUGAGUUAUUUGCUUGUGUUCUUAUGUUUGUCGUGUUUUGCAUGUUCUUCUAUUUAGUGUCCUGUCCUUUCUUCUACUAGUUUCUAUAACCAUGCUUUUACAUGUCUAUCUCGUAUGUUCCUGUACUAUAUUUUUACUAAGCAUUUAAUCCUUGUUUUCCUUACUAGACCUCUGUUUGAACUCUAAGCAUGUUUCAUCUACUGUUUCCUAAGUUAUACAUCACCUGUUUUAUCUUCUAAAACUUUCUUAAGUUCUGAGUCUUCUUUAAAACAUGUUCUUUAUGUUUUUUCACUCUGUUGCUUCAAACUUGCUACUGUGUCUAUGUGUUUACUCAUGAGGCUCUAAAAGAGACCUCUGAGUCCAUUUCAAUGGCUUUCCUUCCCCUCUCUGUAUCACACUUGAGUUGGAAACCCUGGGGUUUGGGGUUUUAACAAGUUUUAUUGGGCAUUUAGACUAGGGUUCUAUUUUAGAACCAUGGGCUCUCUCAAACUCAUUUUUUGAGUCUAGGAAAUAUACUUGACCUCUCUGUAUUGACUCUAAGUCUUUUCUAUGUGAUGUUCUCUUGUUUGUGUUGUUUGUGAGCUUUAUAUAUGAGCACCUUUCUCUCUAAAGGCCUUUUUGCCCAUUUGUGAUUGAUUUCGAAUUAUGUUUUAUAAGUUUUGAUUGAGUGUUAUUGAUUUUCUUUAAAUUAAGCCCCUCUUCACCUUUCCUGAUUGGAUUCAUUCAUACCAAGACUCAAAUCGUGAUUUUACUGGCUGUUAAUUGAUUGUCUUUUCUUGCUUUGCCCAAACCGUGUAUUACUAGACUAUUUUCUUAAAUACCCUUCUGUGUAUUUGCCCCUAUUAUACUACUUUCGAAAAGAUUUUAAAACAAAUCCUUUCCUUAAUUUUUUUUUCCCGUUUGAAUCAAAUCCCUUAACGAAAGGGAAAUUUUAUGUGAUUGAUUUUGAAACUAUUCACUUACCUUUUUGCUACUUGUUUUUUGCACUAUAAAAAAGGCUACCCUUUUGCAAUUGAACAACAGGAUUUACACGCUUUAACACUGAAAUUUUCACAAUAAAAUUGGACUCUCACUCAUAGUAUUAAGCACUCUGCUUUCUACUCUCUUUUCUUUCCUAUACUUCUACUCUGUGUUUUCUGAAAGAACUUUGAGUUCUCUUCGAGCCUUCAAGUAAUAUGCUGAAAAUUUAAGUCUGCUCCUGUUGUGUUUACUUGUUGUGAUGGCUCUGUUGUUUUGCUUGUUCUUACUUUGCGACUGGUAUGUUCUUCCUAGUAAAAUAAUGCUCCUUCACUAUGUGUUUACAUCCUAGUCUGUUAUGCUUUCUUUCACUAUGUUUAUGCCAUUACUUUACUUAUGUGAAUUACUUACCCCUUACCCCUUACCCCUU
rnacentral:lncRNA from 1 species